UGAGUAACACGUAUCCAACCUGCCAUCUACUCUUGGCCAGCCUUCUGAAAGGAAGAUUAAUCCAGGAUGGCAUCAUGAGUUCACAUGUCCGCAUGAUUAAAGGUAUUUUCCGGUAGACGAUGGGGAUGCGUUCCAUUAGAUAGUAGGCGGGGUAACGGCCCACCUAGUCAACGAUGGAUAGGGGUUCUGAGAGGAAGGUCCCCCACAUUGGAACUGAGACACGGUCCAA
rnacentral:rRNA from 1 species